rnacentral:tRNA from 1 species
GGGGUUGUAGCUCAGUUGGAAGAGCGUUAGACUGAAGAUCUAAAGGUCACUAGUUCGAUUCUAGUCGAUCCCA